rnacentral:rRNA from 1 species
CCCUUAGAUGUUCGGGGCCGCACGCGCGCUACACUGAAGGAAUCAGCACGUCUUUCUCCUUGUCCGAAAGGACUGGGUAACCCGCUGAACCUCCUUCGUGCUAGGGAUUGGGGCUUGUAAUUCUUCCCCAUGAACGAGGAAUUCCUAGUAAGCGCGAGUCAUCAACUCGCGUUGAUUACGUCCCUGCCCUUUGUACACACCGCCCGUCGCUACUACCGAUUGAAUGGCUUAGUGAGGCCUCAGGAUCCGCGCUUAAUGUGUGGAGAAUUUGGACAAACUACGUCAUUUAGAGGAAGUAAAAGUCGUAACA